UACGAAGGGGGCUAGCGUUGUUCGGAAUUACUGGGCGUAAAGGGCGCGUAGGCGGUUAUUUAAGUCGGAUGUGAAAGCCCUCGGCUUAACUGAGGAAGUGCACCCGAAACUGAGUAGCUAGAGUACGAAAGAGGGUCGCGGAAUUCCCGGUGUAGAGGUGAAAUUCGUAGAUAUCGGGAGGAACACCGGUGGCGAAGGCGGCGACCUGGGUCGAGACUGACGCUGAGGCGCGAAAGCGUGGGGAGCAAACAGG
rnacentral:rRNA from 1 species